GACGAACGCUGGCGGCGUGCCUAAUACAUGCAAGUAGAACGCUGAAGGAGGAGCUUGCUUCUCUGGAUGAGUUGCGAACGGGUGAGUAACGCGUAGGUAACCUGCCUGGUAGCGGGGGAUAACUAUUGGAAACGAUAGCUAAUACCGCAUAAUAGUAGAUGUUGCAUGACAUUUGCUUAAAAGGUGCAAUUGCAUCACUACCAGAUGGACCUGCGUUGUAUUAGCUAGGUGGUGGGGUAACGGCUCACCAAGGCGACGAUACAUAGCCGACCUGAGAGGGGGGUCGGCCACACUGGGACUGAGACACGGCCCAGACUCCUACGGGAGGCAGCAGUAGGGAAUCUUCGGCAAUGGACGGAAGUCUGACCGAGCAACGCCGCGUGAGUGAAGAAGGUUUUCGGAUCGUAAAGCUCUGUUGUAAGAGAAGAACGAGUGUGAGAGUGGAAAGUUCACACUGUGACGGUAUCUGACCAGAAAGGGACGGCUAACUACGUG
rnacentral:rRNA from 1 species